CCAGAUUCCAAGAUUUGGUAAAUAAAAGAGGCGUUCUAGAUCCAGCUUAGCUUCAACCCACCAGCUUCAUUCUCAAUUUUCAUUCCAUUCGUCGGCGGUCGGUCUUCUUCUCCAAUUCCAAGUUUUCAACGUCAUUGUUGUCGAGAAUCAUCCAUCUUCAUCCAACUGUUCAUCUGGUGGAUUUGGUGUUGUCGAGAAUCAUCCAACUGUUCAUCUUCAUCCAAUCGAACUGUUCUGGUUUGUUUUAAUUUUGAUUUAUAUAACUGUUCUUGGUUUCAUAUUUGUUACUGUGGAUUUUUUAUACAACUAAUUUUGCUCCAGUUGUGAUUUAUUUGAUAUAGCUUCAUUGCUUAUUUAUUUAUUGGCUAUUUUAUAUCUUAAAAAUGAAAAGAUUUAUGGGCAUGUCUCCUAGUUCAUCUUCCAGAACACCACAAAACGAGUCUGUUCCACUUUUUUCAGAAUCUGCAUCACAGCCACAACAUGUAAACUUAGAGGAGGACCAAACCACUUUUGUUGAAACCCAAACUUCUAUUGCAGUUAAAAAACCACCCGUUAGAUCUAAGACUAGUAAAGUGUGGAAUUAUUUUACCUUGAAUGAUGAAAAAGCAGCUUGUAAGCUAUGUAAGGUCAAAUUUGCUUUUAAAGUUAAUUAUGGCACUGGUACUUUAACUAGACAUUUGAAUAAUCAUCACAAGAAUUGGGAAGAUAAUGACUUGUUAGAUGAUAGUAGACAACAAAAUUUAGAUAUUUCAUCUAGUGGUGCUGUUAUAAAUUGUGCAUAUAAACAAGAUGAAGUGAGAAUUGAACUUGCUAAACUUGUUAUAGGAGCUGAACUUCCUUUUAAUUUUGUGGAAACUCAAUAUUUUGCAAAUUUUAUGAAAAAAACUCAACCUCGUUUUAAAAGUGUUUCACGAAACACUUGUUACAAAGAUGGUUACAAAAUAUAUGAAUUUGAAAUUAUUGCUUUGAAAACAUUGUUUUCUAAAUAAAAACAGCAAUGAUUGUUCAUCUAGUUAUGCACUUCUAAUAAAAUAAAAAAGAGGAAAAGUGAUUCUGGUACUAGAUCAACAAAUGAGCUUAAACAUUAUUUAAGCUUAGAUUUAGUGGAAAAUUCUGAGGAUUUUGAUAUUCUACAUUGGUGGAAAAUGGAACAAAAAAAUUAUCCUAUUUUAUCUAUGAUUGCACGUGAUCUACUAACAAGUCAAAUGUCUAGUGUAGCAUCCGAAAGUGCUUUUAGUGCAGGUGCAAGAACAGUGACAGAUAGAAGAACUCGAUUGACACCAAAAUCUAUUAAAUUUUGCAUGCUUUUGAAGAAUUGGAUGGAUGAAGAAUUUCGAUUGAACAAGUUGAAGAGGCUCGAAAGAUAUAGAAUGUCAGAAAUGAAAGAAGAAGGUUAAGAAGAUGAAGGCGGUGAACCGGAUUUGGUAAUUAAUGCACAAGAAGAUCAAGAGCCAGAUAUCGAGAGGUUUUAUUUUCCAAUAACGGAUUAUUACUAUUCAAGUACUAAUGAUCCAAACUUUACUUUUGAUUGGCAAAAUUAUCCGGAUUAACUCUUCGAACAUGUAAUAUUUUUUGUAAUUUUACAAUUGAAGUAUUUACAUUUAAGAAAUUUUUUGUUUA